rnacentral:rRNA from 2 species
AGAGUUUGAUCAUGGCUCAGGAUGAACGCCGGCGGUGUGCCUAAUACAUGCAAGUCGAGCGCACUGGCCCAACUAAUAUGACGUGCUUGCACUGAAUUGACGUUGGAUUACCAGUGAGCGGCGGACGGGUGAGUAACACGUGGGCAACCUGCCCUGGAGCGGGGGAUAACAUCUGGAAACAGGUGCUAAUACCGCAUAACAACGAAAACCACAUGGUUUUCGUUUCAAAGAUGGUUUCGGCUAUCACUUAGGAUGGGCCCGCGGUGCAUUAGCUAGUUGGUAGGGUAACGGCUUACCAAGGCAAUGAUGCAUAGCCGAGUUGAGAGACUGAUCGGCCACAAUGGAACUGAGACACGGUCCAUACUCCUACGGGAGGCAGCAGUAGGGAAUCUUCCACAAUGGGCGCAAGCCUGAUGGAGCAACACCGCGUGAGUGAAGAAGGGUUUCGGCUCGUAAAGCUCUGUUGUCGGAGAAGAACGUGCGUGAGAGUAACUGUUCACGCAGUGACGGUAUCCAACCAGAAAGUCACGGCUAACUACGUGCCAGCAGCCGCGGUAAUACGUAGGUGGCAAGCGUUAUCCGGAUUUAUUGGGCGUAAAGCGAGCGCAGGCGGUUGCUUAAGGUCUGAUGUGAAAGCCUUCGGCUUAACCGAAGAAGGGCAUCGGAAACCGGGCGACUUGAGUGCAGAAGAGGACAGUGGAACUCCAUGUGUAGCGGUGGAAUGCGUAGAUAUAUGGAAGAACACCAGUGGCGAAGGCGGCUGUCUGGUCUGCAACUGACGCUGAGGCUCGAAAGCAUGGGUAGCGAACAGGAUUAGAUACCCUGGUAGUCCAUGCCGUAAACGAUGAGUGCUAGGUGUUGGAGGGUUUCCGCCCUUCAGUGCCGGAGCUAACGCAUUAAGCACUCCGCCUGGGGAGUACGACCGCAAGGUUGAAACUCAAAGGAAUUGACGGGGGCCCGCACAAG